UCACUUAUGAGAGAUGCUUUGGUGCCUUCGGGACUCUGAGACAGGUGCUGCAUGGCUGUCGUCAGCUCGUGUUGUGAAAUGUUGGGUUAAGUCCCGCAACGAGCGCAACCCUUAUCCUUUGUUGCCAGCGGUUCGGCCGGGAACUCAAAGGAAACUGCCAGUGAUAAACUGGAGGAAGGUGGGGAUGACGUCAAGUCAUGGUGGCCCUUACUAAUAGGGCUACACACGUGCUACAAUGGUUAUAAAAAAAGAAGCAACCUCGCAAGAGAGAAGCUUUAU
rnacentral:rRNA from 1 species